ACUGAACAGUUAGCACGGGACUCAGAAUGCACAAGUGCUGUGUCUCUGUGUACUUGAACUUGGUGAGGGAAGACAGAAGCGAGAGCAUGGGAAGACACGGCAAGCAUGGUCCCAUGCACGCGUGCAAGUUACUCAGACUCCUGACAGAUGAGUCUUUCCAGGAUUAAAUACUAAUGCUUUGGAAGAUGUGAUACCAUCUCUCAAAAGUCCUUAGAGUCAUAACGACCCUAUGGGGAUGAGAAGCUACGGAAUCUUCAGGAAGAGGAGGGAAAGGAGGAGAACGUGUGUGGUUAAACGGCUCCACAGAGGUUAUGGCAUCUCUGCUAACCACGACGGGAGGUAAUGUCUGAAACUCCAAUCAUUAUGAAAUAUGACAAGCUUUUCUAUUAAACGAGGCGAAGCCCAAAUUCUCCACAGUGGUCUGACUGUGCUGCUUAUGAACUGAAAGCUGUGGAUGUAACCACUGCCCAUCUGAGGAACGUCUCCCUCUUGCAUGCUUCGUCCAGAAUGUCAAUGAUCUAACCUGCAUUGCAGCCAUUUACAGAGACAGUGCUGUCUUCAGGGACACGGCCCUGGUAGUUCGAGAUGGGCCUUGGUCGUUUCAAACCCACCAUGGCUUCUUCAGCGGUGAACAUUUAGUUUACCUGGGCUCACACCCCUUAACUUGUACUUGGACAGACCUGAGAGCUCAGUAAGUCAGAACUGCCAACUUUUGCAUGGUUUCUUCCCAUAACCAUCAAUCCCCCUGGCAAGGGGGGACUAAACCUUGCUUUGCCCCGUGUCACCCACAAAGAUGAUGAAUCUUUCACUGCACUGUGGCCAAGGAUGACGUCCCUCAGCAAAUGUAAACCCAGUGGCAGCUUUCUGCCAGCUGUAAUUUGGAGGAUCACAUUCUUUUCACCAGUAUGGCACAUUUCCUCCAUUGGCUGCUUGAGCCAGUAGCUUCUAAAACAUCUGAUGCCAAGAGCCUGCUCCGUCAGUAAAAACGCCUUUCUUUCUGGUUUUCCAAUGCCCACUCUUCCUUGCCUUGGUCGGCAUUGGUACCAUAUCAAUAAAGUCAUCAAGCCUCGGGGAGGAGGAGACAACUUGCCUCCCAAAAAGCAGCAUGUUUUUCUGAAGAGAUGUUCAGCUGAAACCAAAGGAGAGAUCAUAAAAACACAGUCGGUGUGAACAAGCCAAUAAACUUGAGUGCUUCUAAGAGCUAUGAAUACUUCUAGCUGAAAGGAAGCUUGGACAGAGUUGAGAAGAUAUAAAACAUAGCUGACAGCUCAGAUCCUGCCAUGAACAGAAACAGCAGCUGGGAGGUGCGCACAUCAGAAACAGCCACCUGGCCUUCACAGCAUGGAAAGAACAGAGUGGUCAAAGAAUGACCCCGGAGCAGCACAAAUAGACUUUGAAAAGAUUGCGGAGGGGGACAAUGCCAAGCUGAAAUGACAGCCAACGGUUUCAGUGUUUCUGUAGUGCCGUAUUCAUCUGAGGAGGUAAGAGAAACACAUCCACACUGGAUCCCAGACAGAAGGGAGCCCAGGUUUACGUGCCCCUCUCUGCCAAGGACAGUAGGCUCUUUCUCGCCCAUAAAUCAAACAGCUGUCAGGCCUACUGACAACAUCACAGCUUGAGGAGUGAAGAAAAAAAUCAAAUUGUAGAAGGUUUUGUUUGUUUCGUAGUAGAAAAUAUAUUCAAAGCUUAUCCAUUGCAAUGUCUGAGGAUGAGUGCUGUUUGCAAAGAAAAAAUAUAUGUAAAGAAAAAAACUGUUAUGUCCACGAUAAUGAAUUUGGCGGCAAUCAAAUUAGAAAAUGCAGGCAGAGGUGCUUGGCAAAUUGUGAAGCAAAAGAGAUUUCCAUGGUGGCUGCUAUUAGAAUCCGCAGUCUCAUGCUUCUGUCUUGCCUGUAGGAAAACCAGUCUGAGGACAGCUUGUCUUUCUCAAGAUCAAGAAGUCCCUUGCUCAUAAAGCUCAGAAGGCUCGACUCUGCCUGCCAAAGAAACUGGUUUCACCUUUUGGACUUUCUUUCAAAGACUUCCCAUUUUGACACGUUUGCCUUUCAAAUCCUAUCAACUCUUAAUUACCGGGCAGCCACAGAGGUCAAGACAGUACAGUCAGGGUUGAUGACGACAGAGGUCUGUUCUGAGAAACGUGCAGUUGGGUGACUCCUCACUGUACUCACAGCAUACAGUGGACUCAUCCAUUGAACGGCAGAGGUCAACCCCUUGAGCUGGCCUCUGGAUUCAGACACAGAAAACAAGACGUCUAGAGGGCUGAUACCGCACAAUGCAUGCUAGCCUAAUCAUUUCUCUAAGUAGGAAAAUGCUCUGAAAUAAUGGCAAAUGAUAUAGUAGACACAGUUACCAUCAUUUUCAAGGAUUGUGACCAAAUACCUUAGCAUGCUACACCUUUUUCAACGGUGUGGGUGCUAUGGGGGUUUGUAUCAGCUUUGCCCCAAACACAUGAGUAAAAUAUUCACUGUGCUAUGUACUAUGUACGCAGCACUGCCAGCUCUAUCAUCUGUGGACCUUCAUGUUUGUGACUCACAGUUAUUAAGAGGGUGUGAAGCAUGUGACUCCAGGGCUUGGGGCACAGGCAUAAUCAUAAAAUGAUCUAAUUCUUAAAGAACUUCACAAUCUACCAACGUUUUAUAUGAACAUCAGUACACACUUAAACAUAUUGCCCUGUGGUACCCUAAACUUAGGCACCACUUUUCUGCUUCAGCAUCCUUUUUAUUCCUCUUCCCUUACCUGACACACCUCCCACCAUCACUGCCUUUGUCUUUAGAAGUCUUACUCACUAUGGUGGUUUGAAAGAAAAUGCCCCCCCCCCCAGGACUUACAGGGAGCGGCACAAUUAGGAGGUGUGGCCUUGCUGGAGUAGAUAUGGCUUUGUUGGAGAAGGUGUGACCCUAGGGGCAGGCUUUGAGGUCUCAGAUGGUCAAGCCAGGCCAGUGGCUCAUAGGCUCUUCCUGGUGCUUGCCAAUCUGGAUGUAGAACUCUCAGCACCUUCUCCAGCAGCAUGCCUGCUACCUGCUGCCAUGUUUCCCACCAUGACGAUAAUGCACUAAACCUCUGAACUGUAAGCCAGCCCCAAGUAAAUGUUUUCCCUUACAAGAGUUACUGUGCUCAUGGUGACUCUUCACAGCAAUAAAACUCCAACUGAAACACUGACCCUUCCACAACCAAAUCAAAUACAUUUUAUCGUCCUCUCCAUCUCUGCCCCCUCUCCCUCCCUAGCUCUACUGCAUUGCAUUGUACUACGCUGUGUUGUGUUGUAUUUUUGCAGAGUUGGGGAUUCAACUCUGAGACUUGUGAACAUAUAAACACUACCACUGAGAACCCACAAACCCUUUUACAGAAAUCUCUCCACAUACUACUAGACCUGCAGUUCUCUGCCAGGGACAUUUUUCUUCCAGAUUCCUGUCUUUGGUGUCUAGAGGCACUUUUGAUUUUAACAAAGAAAACUGAGUAUUUGUGGUGAUUACUAUUAAUUGUAGUGUGACAGAAUCCAAAGGCCUCAAGGCAUCAAUUGAUGUGGGAAGAGCAACCUUAACUAUGGGUGUGGCCAUUCUCUGGGCUGGGGACCUGGACUGCAUAAAUAGAGAAAAUGAACUAAAAAGCAGUUUCCACUCUUCCCUCUCUGUUUCCCAAUUGUGUGUUUUGAGUGCUUCAACCUCCUGCUACCUUGGCUUCCCAGCAUGGAAGACUGUACCUUGAACUGUGAACUAAACAAACCCUUUCUCCCUAAAGUUGCCUUUGUCACGUUAUUGUUGUUGUUGUUGUUUUUACAGCAACAAGAAAAUAGAUCACAACGGUCCUAUUGGUGUGUAUGAAUGAACCAGAGACGCUGGGGUUGAAGAGAUAGCACAAUAGUUAAAAGCACUUGUUCUUGCAAAGGGUCUGGAUUUGACUCCCAGCACCUACAAAGAGGCUCAUCACGUCCUUAUGUACCACACUGCAUGUACCUAAUACACACACACACACACAAACACACAUACACAUAACAAAUAAAGAAAAAAAACAAAACAGAAAUGUUACUAAGCUCCUACAAUACACAAACCACCACAAUAAGGAAUAUACAGGCCAAAUGUCAGUGUCUAUGUGUGUGUGCUCUCUCCCUCCUUCUCCCCCUCCCCCUCGGUGUGUGUGUGUGUUUGUGUGUGUGUGUGUGUGUGUGUGUGUGUGUCGCUGGUGGCUAAACUGUGGCUCAGGCACGCUAAGCACAGACUCGACUACUGACAGCCGUCAGAACAAAGGUUCAUGGGGCCUCACAGGCCAACAACGCUCAGACUGAGACUCUCUGUACAAGAAACAAGAUGCCCUCUGAACUCACAGAAAACCAAACAUGAAUUAUCUUUUAGCAUAUAGUUUAUUUGAUGUAUUUACAAAAUACACACACUAAAUACUCAGUUAAAUCAAAAUUUCCAAUGAAGGCCAAGUAAAAUUUACUAUAAAUAUGUCUCAAUC